rnacentral:rRNA from 1 species
UACAGAGGUCCCAAGCGUUGUCCGGAGUUGCUGGGCGUAAAGCGCACGCAGGCGGUCUGUUAAGUUUGGAGUGACAGUUGGUGGCUUAACUGCCAAAGUGCUUCGAAAACUGACAGACUUGAGGGCUUCAGAGGGACACGGAAUUCCGGGUGGAGUGGUGAAAUGCGUAGAGAUCCGGAGGAACACCAAAGGCGAAGGCAGUGUCCUGGGGAGUACCUGACGCUCAGGUGCGAAAGCCAGGGGAGCGAACGGG